rnacentral:rRNA from 1 species
UACAGAGGUCUCGAGCGUUAGUCGGAUUCAUUGGGCUUAAAGCGUGCGUAGGCGGAUGUGCAGGCGUCGUGUGAAAGCCCUCGGCUCAACCGGGGAAUUGCACGGCGAACCGCAUGUCUUGAGACAAGUAGGGGCGGUCGGAACGAUAGGUGGAGUGGUGAAAUGCGUUGAUAUCUAUCGGAACGCCAAAGGUGAAGACAGACCGCUGGGCUUGUUCUGACGCUGAGGCACGAAAGCGUGGGGAGCAAACGGG